GCGGACGUGGCGGAAUUGGUAGACGCACUAGACUUAGGAUCUAGCGCCGCAAGGUUUGUGGGUUCAAGUCCCUCCGUCCGCACCA
rnacentral:tRNA from 1 species